UAAGAAAUGGGGGAGUAUACAGGCGG
rnacentral:piRNA from 1 species